CUCGUUCCUGCACUACCGUACUCCUGACGUCUACCUCCCGUGUACCGACCAACGCCUGUCUCCCGACCUACCCCCAUCUGCAGGAGAUUUGAGCAGGGAAACACAGUGGUCUGUAAUUGCAAGAGUCGAGGUCAUUUAAUGCCGUUCUCCUGGAGGAGAGGUUCUGAGUACUGGUGUUCUCAUAAGAGCGAGGUUGGGUCUGAAUCCCACUGUCCUCCCACCUGAAGCAAACAUGGCUUAUUUAUUCAUAAAUUGCUAAUAGGAGUUUUGUUUGGUUUCCGAGCAUCAGGCCGAAAAAGCAAUGGCAAGUCCUCUAGUGAGAAAAAAUUCCCUCGCAGACAGGCUAUAUGGGAAGCAAGUACCAUUUGCAGUGUUCCAUCAAGAAGCCAGCCACCACUUGCAUUGUUUUUUGCCACAUGGUAAGUCCUGCUUUCAUGAACUCAGUCUUGUGUUUACAAUUUGGGGUCCUAACAAGUGCAUA